rnacentral:rRNA from 1 species
AUUGAACGCUGGCGGCAGGCCUAACACAUGCAAGUCGAGCGGAUGAAGGGAGCUUGCUCCUGGAUUCAGCGGCGGACGGGUGAGUAAUGCCUAGGAAUCUGCCUGGUAGUGGGGGAUAACGUCCGGAAACGGGCGCUAAUACCGCAUACGUCCUGAGGGAGAAAGUGGGGGAUCUUCGGACCUCACGCUAUCAGAUGAGCCUAGGUCGGAUUAGCUAGUUGGUGGGGUAAAGGCCUACCAAGGCGACGAUCCGUAACUGGUCUGAGAGGAUGAUCAGUCACACUGGAACUGAGACACGGACCAGAGUCCUACGGGAGGCAGCAGUGGGGAAUAUUGGACAAUGGGCGAAAGCAUGAUACAGCAAUGCCGCGUGAGUGAAGAAGGUCUUCGGAUUGUAAAGCACUUUAAGUUGGGAGGAAGGGAAGUAAGUUAAUACCUUGCUGUUUUGACGUUAACAAAAGAAUAAGCACCGGCUAACUACGUG